UAUAUUCUCGCAUUCUCUAUUAACGUCUUCCUGCACUACUUUUCUAACUAUGGUUGUGGGUUUCAUGUAUUUGCAAGUCACUCAAAACAAAUUGUAAGGGUGAGUAUGUCAAUGUGGAUCCAAACAAUGCGUUAUGUGUAGAUGAUCUUGAUCAAUACAAUGAGUGUAUCGCAGACAUAAACACACCCCAAAUAUUGGAACCUUAUUGUACUGUUUCUUCUCCAAAUCCACUAGGGUCAGAGUGGGAUUCAGACGAUCUCAAUCAAGACUCUGUAAAUCUCCUUUCUCUUCCUCAACUUUCCAGGCCAUGGUGUCGAAGUUACAUUUAUCGUUUCUCUUAUAUCUGGGCAAAUAAUAAAACUGUUCAAGAUGCUCUUCAUGUUCGGGAGGCAAGUUGCUCAGCAGAUUCUAAAUUUACAGUAACAUCAAGUUCACAUUACUUUAACCUUGAUGAUUAAUCUUGAUUUUAAAAAUCACAAUCAGGGAAGCAUCAAGGACUGGCAGAGAUGCAAUAAGACCUUAUCAGCUUCAUAUAUAUCUGAUGUUUCUUCUAGUCUGGUUUAUCAUCAGAACCUCAUAAAAAAAAGCUAUAGAGUUCUGAUAUACAGUGGUGAUCAUGACAUGGUGGUUCCAUAUUUGGGUACUAUUGCUUGGAUAGAAUCUCUAAACCUGACAGUUGACAGUAGUUGGAAACCAUGGUUCGUGAAUGGACAAAUCGCAGGAUACAGAGUGCAGUAUACAUAUAAAAAGUACCAGUUGACAUUUACAACUAUAAAGG